UGCGACCCACUUUGGGCUCAAUGAUAAAUUAGAUUUGAAUGUAUGUCUGUGAAAUAUAAAACUUCUACUUAACUGUAAUGAUAAUGAUGGCUUGGCAUUUUGAUCUUGUUGUUUGAGUCGCUGUUAGUAAAUUGACCAAGCAGUGUUUUUAAUGUGUAACUAUAUAUACUUAUGAUCAUGUGCCAUGUGAUAAUUUAUGGAAUGGCAGACACUUCUAAUCAUCCAAUCACAUUGAUUUGGUGGUGUUUAAAAGAAAACACACCACCAUUUUUUCUUCUUAAUGUCCUGAUGAAGGUCCUUGUUGACCGAAACGAUGACUAAUAAAGAAGAGAAAAGUG